GCCCAGGUGGCGGAAUUGGUAGACGCGCUGGACUCAAAAUCCAGUGGUAGCGAUAUCGUGCGGGUUCGAUUCCCGCCCUGGGUA
rnacentral:tRNA from 1 species